GCUUUACGAUCAUCAUCAUUAUCCGACGGCGUUAUCGCAGCGCACUAUCACGCAUUUUCAAGGUGCGUGAAUACCAAUAUGCACGUUUUUGGAAGUGGAUUCUUCUCCCCGCCGUUAAUCUUCUCGAGCACUGGCGGUGACAACGAUGACGACGACGACGACGGUGGCGAACACAAGCGUGUACGUUGCGAGUGAGAGCGCCUUCUUCUAGCCGAGAGUAGAGACACUACAAUCAGAGACUGGCCACAACUGAUUCGCCAUGUUUUGUCUAAAUUCUACGAGAGAGAAAGAAAUAUACAUCAUAACUUACAAUAAUGUGUUUUGGACGAUAUUUUUUAUUUUGCAUGUGCAUUAAUUUAAAUGCAUUAAAUUAAACGUGGGAAGCGCGAUAAUAUAUCAUCAAAUCUAGAUAAUAAAAUUAUGAAAUAUAUUAAUAAAUUAAUUAAUUGUGAUUAAUCAAUAUAAUAAAAUGGGUGGAUGUUCAGCAUCAUUUUACAAUAAUUCAUCGAGGAAAGGUUAUAUCAUGAAAGUUUUUUCCAAGAGAUCCCAAACGUCAAACUUUAUGGUUGCAAAAUGUAAAGAAAUAAAUGCGAAUGAUAUAUUAA